GAAUCCUCUCUGGCCUUCACUCCAGCUCUUCUAUGUAAAGCACAAGUAAAGGCAGAUGAGUAUGCACAGAGGAUCAAAUCAAUAAAAAUGCAUUAAUGGACACUGAAAACUGAAAAGUUUAGCAGAAGUGAAGAAGAUGGAGCAAGGAUGAAGGCAGUAUGCUCAUGGUGGCCCUGGACAUUGGGUGAAGUUUGGUGGCCAAAUGAUGAUUCACAAAGCACAAGAAGUAGAGGAUGAGAAACAAAGAUAUGAACACAAACCUCACCACCUAAUAUUAUAAGAAAUGUAUUAUUUAAGUACUGCUCAAGACUCAAAUUCCACCGCAAAAGCUGAGUACCAUUGUUCUACUGCCUGAUGUCUAUGUUACCACUGUGAAAAGAAUAAAAUUGGGGAGGAAAAACUCAUGUUUCUGCAAAUCAAAGAAAAUAGUAACGUAGUUCACAAUGGAAAGGGCAAUAUCUGAACUGUGAUAACUCCGCUAUCUUUAAGGAUAGGAGCAAAGUGGUUAUG